CGGUAUUCCGAAUCAUUGUACGAGUUACUGAGUUUUUGGAUGGGUUGUGGCGGUACGGUUGGCAGCAGGAACUCUACCUCCUGGAACUCUCAUGUCUCCAACACAGGACCAUAUCCCUUCUCCAAGAUUAUCAAGGAUUGCUUACAAUUACUGCAGCAUGAUGGAGACAUUCAUGUGAAACUGUACAGAGAGACUACAUCAUGAGCACCAAAGGCAAUUGGAGGAGGUGCAAAUGAAUCACUACUUUACCUGGAAGGAGGGUUUGAAUCCUUGGAUGUUGGGAAGGCAAGAGAUACUGCCUGGCCUGCUGAGUUCCUCCAGCAUUUUGUUUGUAGCUCCAGAUUCCAGCAUCUGCACUCUCUUGUGUCUCCUGUCUUACUUUUUAGUCGAG